rnacentral:rRNA from 1 species
UACGUAGGGGGGCAAGCGUUGUCCGGAUUUAUUGGGCGUAAGAGCGUGUAGGCGGUUUGGUAGGUCCGCUGUGAAAACUCGAGGCUCAACCUCGAGACGCCGGUGGAAACCAUCAGGCUAGAGUCCGGAAGAGGAGAGUGGAAUUCCUGGUGUAGCGGUGAAAUGCGCAGAUAUCAGGAAGAACACCCGUGGCUAAGGCGGCUCUCUAGUACGGUACUGACGCUGAGACGCGAAAGCGUGGGGAGCGAACAGG